GUUGCCAGCACGUGAUGGUGGGGACGUCAUAGGAGACUGCCGGGGUCAACUCGGAGGAAGGUGGGGAUGACGUCAAAUCAUCAUGCCCCUUACGUCUUGGGCUUCACGCAUGCUACAAUGGCCGGUACAGAGGGCUGCGAAACCGUGAGGUGGAGCGAAUCCCUUAAAGCUGGUCUCAGUUCGGAUUGGGGUCUGCAACUCGACCCCAUGAAGUCGGAGUCGCUAGUAAUCGCAGAUCAGCAACGCUGCGGUGAAUACGUUCCCGGGCCUU
rnacentral:rRNA from 1 species